GGGGCCGUGUUGGUUUUGACAGCAUAGGUUACGGUUGGUGUAAGCAUGCAGUGCGUUGGAUAAUUAGCACUUUAAUCUGAAUAUUCAACCAUUAUCUGGCAAUACACAGUAUGCCAUGGCUGCCUAAUCAGUGAUUAGACCGUCAUUUGGGCCGCCGCACAGGUUCGCUUCUUUCCAGGUGCCGCCGCCGACUCAAAACAAAAGGAGAUGCUGCAACAAAAGGCUGUGAUUGUUGCCUAAGCUCAUCCAGCUAAGCUGUGGGUUGGUUUGUUUCUUUCCGGCACACAGCCGACAAAUAAUAAGAAAAUAAGCAUGUAGAAAGCUAAUGGUCACGAUGUUUGGACACCGGUUCGAAUCCGGUCGGCUCCACAC
rnacentral:tmRNA from 1 species